rnacentral:pre_miRNA from 1 species
UUUAGCUGUCAAAAGUGCUGUUUGUGCAGGUAGCUUUCAUUCACCUACUGCAGAACCAGCACUUACGGCAGACAGAA